UAGGGAAUCUUCGGCAAUGGGGGGAACCCUGACCGAGCAACGCCGCGUGAGUGAAGAAGGUUUUCGGAUCGUAAAGCUCUGUUGUUAAGGAAGAACGAGUGUGAGAAUGGAAAGUUCAUGCUGUGACGGUACUUAACCAGAAAGGGACGGCUAACUACGUGCCAGCAGCCGCGGUAAUACGUAGGUCCCGAGCGUUGUCCGGAUUUAUUGGGCGUAAAGCGAGCGCAGGCGGUUAGAAAAGUCUGAAGUGAAAGGCAGUGGCUCAACCAUUGUAGGCUUUGGAAACUGUUUAACUUGAGUGCAGAAGGGGAGAGUGGAAUUCCAUGUGUAGCGGUGAAAUGCGUAGAUAUAUGGAGGAACACCGGUGGCGAAAGCGGCUCUCUGAUCUGUAACUGACGCUGAGGCUCGAAAGCGUGGGGAGCGAACAGG
rnacentral:rRNA from 2 species